rnacentral:rRNA from 1 species
CAGGCCUAACACAUGCAAGUCGAACGAAGGCUUCGGCCUUAGUGGCGCACGGGUGCGUAACGCGUGGGAAUCUGCCCUUGGGUUCGGAAUAACAGUUAGAAAUGACUGCUAAUACCGGAUGAUGUCGAUAAGACCAAAGAUUUAUCGCCCGAGGAUGAGCCCGCGUAGGAUUAGCUAGUUGGUGUGGUAAAGGCGCACCAAGGCGACGAUCCGUAGCUGGUCUGAGAGGAUGAUCAGCCACACUGGGACUGAGACACGGCCCAGACUCCUACGGGAGGCAGCAGUGGGGAAUAUUGGACAAUGGGCGAAAGCCUGAUCCAGCAAUGCCGCGUGAGUGAUGAAGGCCUUAGGGUUGUAAAGCUCUUUUACCCGGGAUGAUAAUGACAGUACCGGGAGAAUAAGCUCCGGCUAACUCCGUGCCAGCAGCCGCGGUAAU